GUACAUAGAUCACUCGAUGCAUGCUGAGACAUAAAUUCACAUUUCUACCACUUCGGAAAGUAUCAAUAUCCUACAUGUAAAAUGGACUAGAAGAUACUGAAAAUAUUAAUGGUUUUAUACAAUAUGGCAAUACAGCAGAUCACUCAAGGCUUGCUGAGACAUGACUACGCAUUCAUACCAGUUGAGAAAAUAUCAUCAUCCUACGUUGAAAAUUAACUAGAAGAUACUGAUAAUUAUAUAGGUUUUAUGCAAUAUGGCAGUACAUAGAUCACUCGAUGCAUGCUGAGACAUGAAUUCACAUUUCUACCACUUCGGAAAGUAUCAAUAUCCUACAUGUAAAAUGGACUAGAAGAUACUGAAAAUAUUAAUGGUUUUAUACAAUAUGGCAAUACAGCAGAUCACUCAAGGCUUGCUGAGACAUGACUACGCAUUCAUACCAGUUGAGAAAAUAUCAUUAUCCUACGUUGAAAAUUAACUAGAAGAUACUGAUAAUUAUAUAGGUUUUAUGCAAUGUACGUGAAAUGGCUAUUGAAUGUAAUUGAUAGUAAAUUAAUAGUAGUGUAACAAUUGAAAUUUGUUAAAAAUCUGAAUAAAGGAUUGGGAAACACA